AUUGAACGCUGGCGGCAGGCCUAACACAUGCAAGUCGAGCGGAUGACAGGAGCUUGCUCCUGGAUUCAGCGGCGGACGGGUGAGUAAUGCCUAGGAAUCUGCCUGGUAGUGGGGGACAACGUUUCGAAAGGAACGCUAAUACCGCAUACGUCCUACGGGCGAAAGCAGGGGACCUUCGGGCCUGGCGCUAUCAGAUGAGCCUAGGUCGGAUUAGCUAGUUGGUGAGGUAAUGGCUCACCAAGGCGACGAUCCGUAACUGGUCUGAGAGGAUGAUCAGUCACACUGGAACUGAGACACGGUCCAGACUCCUACGGGAGGCAGCAGUGGGGAAUAUUGGACAAUGGGCGAAAGCCUGAUCCAGCCAUGCCGCGUGUGUGAAGAAGGUCUUCGGAUUGUAAAGCACUUUAAGUUGGGAGGAAGGGUUGUAGAUUAAUACUCUGCAAUUUUGACGUUACCGACAGAAUAAGCACCGGCUAACUCUGUGCCAGCCGCCGCAGUAACAC
rnacentral:rRNA from 1 species